GAGAGCUAGAUGAGGGGAGACCCUCACGUCCAGUUCGGAGGGCAGGUAUAUCCCGAC
rnacentral:ncRNA from 1 species